AGUGGCGACCGGGUGAGAAAAACAGGACUACCUGCCCUUGAGUGGGGGAUAACCUCGGGAAACCGAGGCUAAUACCGCAUAAUAUCGAAAGAUCAAAGGAGCAAUCCGCUUUUGGAGGGGGUCGCGGCUGAUUAGCUAGUUGGUAGGGUAAUGGCCUACCAAGGCGAAGAUCGGUAUCCGGCCUGAGAGGGCGCACGGACACACUGGAACUGAAACACGGUCCAGACUCCUACGGGAGGCAGCAGUGGGGAAUUUUGCGCAAUGGGGGAAACCCUGACGCAGCAACGCCGCGUGGAGGAUGAAGCCCCUUGGGGUGUAAACUCCUUUCGACUGGGAAGAUUAUGACGGUACCAGUGGAAGAAGCACCGGCUAACUCUGUGCCAGCAGCCGCGGUAAUACAGAGGGUGCGAGCGUUGUUCGGAAUUAUUGGGCGUAAAGGGCGCGUAGGCGGUGCGGUAAGUCACCUGUGAAAUCCCCGGGCUUAACUCGGGGCCUGCAGGCGA
rnacentral:rRNA from 1 species